UCCCCUCUCCAAAUUUGAAAUCUUAAUUUUCUCUCUUAUCCCCCAAAAUCGAGAACCCCUUUUUGAACCUUUCUCAAAGAAGUCCCUUUAUUUUGGAUUUCCCCUAAUUUUCUAAAUCUCCCUCUUCUAUUUUUGAACAUCCAAAAAAACCCCAAUCUCUUCACCCUCCAAUCAAAAACCCCCUUUUAUAGGCACAAAUUCAGACUUCAAAGUUUGGAAUUAAAACCUUAAAAUAAAGAAAUGAUAAAAAAGAGAGGGAAUUUUG
rnacentral:lncRNA from 1 species